GGGCACCGCGCAGCGCCCGGCGGCUCGACCCCGGCGGGAGCGCGGAGCGGCGGGCUGACCUCGGCUGCGGCGGCGGGGCCGGGCCCGGGGGCAGGGAGGGAUGGAGGGAGGCAGGGAGGGAUGGAGGGAGGCAGGGAGCGAGCGGCGGCGCGGGCGGGCGCCGGGCUCCGGGCGCGGCUCGGCGGCGGCGGCGAGCUGGGCUUCCCGGAGAGGGACUUUUCUGCGGCUUCCCGGGGCGAGGCGGGAAGGCGGCUCUGGCCCCCUCGGCACCGCGGCUCCUGCCUGCGAUCGCCUGGAAAACAGACAAAGCGAGGGAAUUAGAGAGGCAGGCGGGGAGGGAACAGCGCCGGAGCCCGCACGCCGCGCAGUGCCAAUGACAAAAGGGAGAGAGGGGGGAGCCAAGCAGGGGAAGGAGGGAGCGAGGGGAGGGGUAGGGGAAGGGGGAAAGGGGAUGACACGGACUAAGGCAGAACUGGGGCCGGCGAGACCCCAGCCUCCGCCGCUGCCUGCUCCGCGGCCGGGGAGGGACGGGCUUUUCGCCCAUCACCGGGGCGCCGGGGGAGCGGGUCGCUGCGGCACGAUGGGGAGCUGGCCGCCCGCGGGGAAUCGCACAGGGCAGCUUUUCACCCGCCGCUGCAAAAACGCCCCAGGAAAGCAAAAACAGGAGAAAGGCUUUAAAAAAAAAAGAGAGAGAGAGAGAGAGAGAGAGAGAGAGAGAAAAGAAAAAAAGGAAGAAAAGGAAAGCGGAGGAGGGAGGGGGAGAGAAACCCUGUCGUUUCCCCAUCUUUCUCCUCUUGAGGAGCGUAUGAGAGCAGAGAGAGAAAUCCACGGGGAGAAAUCCAAGCAUCCAAAUAAAAAUAAGAAUAACGAUCCCACUCCAAAUACUAAAAAAAUAGUAAUAAAAAUAAAAUGGUCAAACCUGCCGAGGGCUGCCGGCUCCUCUGCCUGCCGGAGCUGCAGAGCGAACGGGAGGAGGAGAGCCCAGCUAGCUGCUUUCGGGGGGUAGGAAGCGGUCCGGUCUCUCCCCCUCGCUUGCUGCUCCAGAAUUAGGGAUUAAUGCCUCUCCAGCCAAACAAAUAAGGCAUCUGCCUUCAGUACAAGAGGAUUACACGGGGCUGCUGACGUCACCAGCCAGGCAGAUGUUGGCUCCCAAAGUCCUGAUCAUCUCCCAUGUCCUUGAAACCCGGCACAAUCCCAGCCCCGCGCAGCCCCAGCCGGGUCCCUGCAAGGGCGCGGGGGCCCUGCUCGGAGGGGACCCCGCCGAGGCGCUCUCUCCCAAAACGUCCUCUCCCAACUUGGGGAGAGAAAGGUGUGAAAAGCCGAGCCCGGCAGAAAGUUCAACCCUCCCCCUUCCCCCCGCUUCCU
rnacentral:lncRNA from 1 species